GGCUUUAUAGUCAAUAAUGACAUUAGACUGCAAUUCUAAAGGAGUAAAUAUUUACUAAGGCUUAAAAGAUUUUUCUUAUAUUU
rnacentral:tRNA from 1 species